rnacentral:rRNA from 1 species
UUAAAUUGAAGAGUUUGAUCAUGGCUCAGAUUGAACGCUGGCGGCAGGCCUAACACAUGCAAGUCGAACGGUAACAGGAAGAAGCUUGCUUCUUUGCUGACGAGUGGCGGACGGGUGAGUAAUGUCUGGGAAACUGCCUGAUGGAGGGGGAUAACUACUGGAAACGGUAGCUAAUACCGCAUAACGUCGCAAGACCAAAGAGGGGGACCUUCGGGCCUCUUGCCAUCGGAUGUGCCCAGAUGGGAUUAGCUAGUAGGUGGGGUAAC